UUGAUGUAUUCUAAAAUAUGAACAAUUCAGAUUAUCAAAAUGGACCCCAAAAUGGGCCCAUUGUGCCGCAUAGCAGCAUCCUCACUUCCUUCUUUUUCUUAAACCUCUGUUCUCAAACUAGGAACGGGUUUACUCUCUUUCUAUCUCUUCACCUUAUUCACACCAAACUCAUAUUCAGAAAACUCACCCUCAAACUCUGACCAACAACUUCUUCAAUUGCAUUAAUCCAACAAACCCAUUACCCUUUAAUGCAUUCAUCUCAGAUUUUCGUCUAAAAGGGUGUUUUUCUCUCACUCUCCAAACCUUCGCUUUCAUACACAUCAAUGGGGGUUCCUAUGGUUGAAUUUGGACCAAAGAAUUCUCACAAACUCAAAAAAGCAUAAAAUAUUCU